rnacentral:rRNA from 1 species
UACGUAGGGGGCAAGCGUUGUCCGGAUUUACUGGGCGUAAAGCGCGUGUAGGCGGUGAAUUAAGUCGAAUGUCAAAUUCUGCAGCUUAACUGCAGUCCGCAUUUGAUACUGAUUUACUAGAGAAUGGGAGAGGAAAGUGGAACUCACAGUGUAGCGGUGAAAUGCGUAGAUAUUGUGAGGAACACCUGUGGCGAAGGCGGCUUUCUGGACCAUUUCUGACGCUGAGACGCGAAAGCGUGGGGAGC